CUUGUGGGCAAAAUGGGUUCUUCUAGACUUAUUCUUUUAUUCUAUUUGUAUCAUUCAUGGAGUGAAGUGCUCUGUACUCCAACUGAACGUGUCUCCCAUGUGUCUGAUUGGAGUAAUGCUGGGCAACUACUGCAAAAACACAAAGGACCGACUGAACAUGACAAUUCUCACUUCCCUCAGAAACCUAGUUUCAGGGCUCAUGUGAAGUCAAGUUCGUCUGUUUCCUUGAGAAAACCGACUGCUCUAGUGGAAAGCAGCAUUUGGCAAUCAUCUGUAAAAAAAGCACAUCCUAAGGAACCCAGUUCUUCCUUUGUUUCUGAGAAGUCCAGCUCCCUUUCUGUGAAGAAACCCAGUUUUUCUCUCCAAUCUGAAAAACCUAGUGCUCCUAAGCAAUCAAGUUCUUCCUACCCUUCUGAGAUGUCUGGCUCUAACCCUGAGAGACCCAAAGCUCCUACUGAACACCGAUCUAAGCUAAAGACCCCAAGUUCUCCUCUCCCUGUGAAAUCAAGUAUUCUCUUCUCAAAGGUCAGUUCUAAACCUAAGAAACCUGGAGCUCUGAUGGGACCCAUUUUUUUACUUCCAUCUGAAAAAUUCAGCUCUAAACCGGAGAAAUCUAGUGCUCCUAUGCAACAACAUUCUAAGCCAGAGAUCCCAAGUUCUCUUCUCCCAGUGAAACCAAGCGUUUUCUUAAAGCCCAGUUCUAAACCUGUGAAACCUAGUUCUUCCAUUCCAUCUGAGAAGUCUAGCCCCCUCCCCACUGAGAAACCCAGUUCUAAACCUGAACAACCUAGUGCUCCCACGGAACCCAGUUUCUCCCUCCCCACUGAGAAACCCAGUUCUAAACCUGAACAACCUAGUGCUUCCACGGAACCCAGUUUCUCCCUCCCCACUGAGAAACCCAGUUCUAAACCUGAACAACCUAGUGCUCCAACGGAACCCAGUUUUUCCCUCCCCACUGAGAAACCCAGUUCUAAACCUGAACAACCCAGUUUUUCCCUCCCCACUGAGAAACCCAGUUCUAAACCUGAACAACCUAGUGCUCCAACGGAACCACGUUCCUCCCUCCCCACUGAGAAGUCUAGCUCUCUUCCCUCUGAGAAACCGUUAUAAACCGGAGAAAGCUAGUGAUGCUAUACAAUCCAGUUCUUCCCCUUCUCGUUAGAAGUCUAGCAUUAAACCUGUAAAAACCAAUUUUUAAAUGUUGGUCUCUUCCCUCUAAGAACUUGACUUCUAAAUGUAAAAUACCCAGUUCCCUGACUAGUUUUUCCUUUUAACUCUUAGAAAAUUCUAGUUUGUCUCUGGAAUCCAGUUCUCCCCCUGUUCACACAAGUGUUGAUUCUGGAAGAACAAGCCACUCAUGUGUUGGUAAUUAAAUUUGUUUUUGUGUGCCACCAUACAAAAUAAAUUAUCAGAUUGUUUUGGAAUGCUUUGCAUUGUGACUUUUUCUGUGUUAAGGAUAGUUAUUGGCUGGUCCUUUUGUGAGUGAAAGGCCUGUCUCAAAGUGUUGAACAAAUUUGUUUCAAAGCAAAACCAGUCCAACUCUCUUAAGAUUGGGUUCAGUGACCUGUCUAUUCAGGGCUUGAUUUAACUCUGAAUACAUGCAUAUAAUUGUUACAUUUACAGCAAACAGUGAAUUAUGCAAGACAUUGUGAGUGCAUGGAUUGUCUUGAAUGGAGAUUAUGAAAAAUAGGAAUUAAAAUACAUUUGGCAGAAAGAAAUACUGAUUUUGCAAGAAAUUCUGUUUUUUUUUGUUUGUUUUUUUACCCACAGUGACCACUAAAGACAAGUUUAUAGUUCCUAGACUCCCCAAUAACAAACACUUUACAUGCCCA
ensembl:lncRNA proteoglycan 4-like